rnacentral:rRNA from 1 species
AACGAACGCUGGCGGCAUGCCUAACACAUGCCAGUCGAACGAGACCUUCGGGUCUAGUGGCGCACGGGUGCGUAACGCGUGGGAACCUGCCCUUAGGUUCGGAAUAACUCCCCGAAAGGGGUGCUAAUACCGGAUAAUGUCUUCCGACCAAAGAUUUAUCGCCUUUGGAUGGGCCCGCGUUGGAUUAGCUAGUUGGUAGGGUAAAAGCCUACCAAGGCGACGAUCCAUAGCUGGUCUGAGAGGAUGAUCAGCCACACUGGGACUGAGACACGGCCCAGACUCCUACGGGAGGCAGCAGUGGGGAAUAUUGGACAAUGGGCGAAAGCCUGAUCCAGCAAUGCCGCGUGAGUGAUGAAGGCCUUAGGGUUGUAAAGCUCUUUUACCCGGGAUGAUAAUGACAGUACCGGGAGAAUAAGCUCCGGCUAACUCCGUG